rnacentral:siRNA from 1 species
UCACAUAGUCGUUGUUUUACGA